UACGGAGGAUCCAAGCGUUAUCCGGAUUUAUUGGGUUUAAAGGGUGCGUAGGCGGAAUAGUAAGUCAGUGGUGAAAGCCUGUCGCUUAACGACAGAACUGCCAUUGAUACUGCUAAUCUUGAGUAUAUUUGAAGUGGGCGGAAUGUGUCGUGUAGCGGUGAAAUGCUUAGAUAUGACACAGAACACCAAUUGCGAAGGCAGCUCACUAAACUAUAACUGACGCUGAGGCACGAAAGCGUGGGGAUCAAACAGG
rnacentral:rRNA from 1 species